CUAGCUGGUUUGGCUCAGUGGAUAGAGCAUUGCAGAAAAGUUGCAAAGAUAGGAUAAGAGUUUCCAUAUAUCCCCUCACCUAGUUUGUCUCCCCUAAUGUCACCAUCUUGCAUUUCCAAAGUACAUUUGUAUGUACUGUUCAUGCACUGCUAAACAACAUUGGUACAUUACUGUUAAUCUCCAGAUGAUUCAGAUUUUGCCACUAAUCCCAGUAUUGAUUCAAUCUAAGACACCAAUGUAUGGUUAAAAUGAAGAACUCCAAUGUUGGAAGUUUACAUAUAUCUCUGCUACAUUUCAUCAUCUUGUUGCGAUACUUUUGAAUCUCAAGCCUGCCAUCUAGAAUGUUAAAAUGUGGACUUUGUCAUUUACACAUCUGAUACUUAUGUUUCUUUAGUUUUAUUUAAAUUAUUGAUUACUACUAAACAAACUAGGUCCAAAAACAGAGACCUAGGUAUUGCACUAGAGAAUGUUCUUUGAUUAUGGUCCAGCCAAUUGCAAAUUCACCUAAUAAUCUUGCACCAAAAUUAUUAUCUAAGUCAUAUCUAGAUUAUUAUUAUUAUUACCAAGACUAUAAUCUAGGUCACUUUCCACCAUUUUAAUCAAGGUAUUCAUGAGGAAAAUUUUAUCAAAUGUUUGGUAAAAGCAAGAUGAAGCAGGUGAUAGCUUUAAAUUUACUUUCAUAACUAUAUAGAAUUUAAAAAACGUAAGAAAGUCUAAAAGUCUUUUAACCUAACCCCCUCAAGUCAACUUUGAAUAUAUUCAUUGAAAUCUAAGGUCAAGGGGGGAGUAACAUCUCUGUACUAGGAAUUUAAAUUUUCUAUGUUAAGCAAUCAUGGUUUCCCUAAAAGAGUUCAGGUGGUUUGGGCUUUCUGUCAAACUUUACACUUAGACUACAUCAAAGCAACAGCACAUGCAGUCUGGAUAUUGUUUCUGACACAAUCUCUUUUGAGACAUUAUCUAAAAUGUGGGCUAUUGCUUAUAUAAAGCAGAAUAGAUUUUAAAAUAGACAUAGUCAAAAGGUAGGUAGUUUUGUUUUUUCUAGUGAGAGUAACUGGCAACAAAAACUGACAGAAGGCAGGGUGAUGUGAUCCUGCAAGUGUGGUUUCCAGAGGUCAAAGGACAGAUGGCCAUUAUAAGAAAAAUCGUAAGAUAUUCCACUUGGUUAAAAUUUGAGUAAAAUCAUGUGAUUGAGAGAAUAUCUUAGUUGGUGUUGCAAUAAACUAGGGUUGCCACAUAAGCAAUUUUAUCAAAUGAUUGGCAAAAGCAAGAUGGAGCAUGGUGAAAUAGUUCUCAGCCCCUGGUGACGGCAUCUGCAACAUUUUCUGAAGCCUGGGUUGUAGCCAUUAAGUGUAAGGACUGCAGCUGUGUCAUUGCAAAAAAGGAAGGGCCUGACACAGCCUUGACCUGCAGUCUCUCACUUUAGCUAUUGUCAUACCUUCUUGAUUGGCCCUUUGGACUUCUGUUGAACCUCCUACAGGAUUCUGCAUAGAGCUGACAACUCAGUUAAAUGUCUUAUGAGAAAUAAGGUGGUUUUAUUACGUUAUGGUUAGAUAUAGUAAACAUUUUCUCAUAGCCAAAUCUUUAUAUGAAAGGGAAUACAUCUCUUGGAACUCAGUUUCUCAGAUUAUAUAGAACUGCUCAUGAGUGUUUUUCUUCAACGCUCUGAUACCUGACUGGUGUUUAUUAAACUGCCCCACCCUGAGGUUGUUUUUUGUGAAACUGGAAAUACAGAAAAUUCAGUAA